UUGUAUUUUUAGUAGAGAUGGUGUUUCACCAUGUUGACCAGGCUGGUCUAGAACUCCUGACCUUGGGUGAUCCACCCGCCUCGGCCUCCCAAAGUGCUGGGAUUACAGGCAUGAGCCACUGCGCCCAGCCUGGGCCUGCUUUUUUCUCUUUUUCUUUUUUUUCAUUAGCAGCUUAAAAUUGAUGCCUUAUUCAGACACAAGCAAAAGGACAUUAGCCCAGCUUUGGAAAUAGAGCCACCUAAGCUGAAGAUUCCCUUGAGAACAAGUACUGUCCUGUGGUUUCAUGGCCUUUCUUCCAUUUGUGGUUCUUGCGAAGUGGAAUUUAAAUGACAUCUUAUCAAGAUGGAUAAACCCUAGUUUCCCAGUGCUGGAAUAUAGAAAAUGGGUGGACAAGUAAAUCCCACUCAGCACCCAUAGUCCAGGCAUGGGGACCUCAACACACCUGAGCCCCAGACAUCACCUUUCAUUCUGGACCUACCAUGAAAGACUUCUGAAUCCAGGAAGAGAAACUGACUGGGCAACAUGUUAUUCAGAGACAGGGCCUCGCUCUGUUGUCCAGGCUGGUGUGCAGUGGUGCAAUCAUAGCUCAUUGAAGCCUCAACCUCCAGGGCUCAAGUGAUUCUCCUGCUUCAGCCUCUCAAGUAGCUGGAAUUACAGGGUUCCCACCACCACAUUUGGCUAAUUUCUUUUAUUUUUUGUAUAGAUGGGGUCUUCUUAUGUUGCCCAGGCUGGUCUCAAAUUCCUAGGCUCAAGUGAUUCCGCCCACCUCUGCCUCCCAAAGUGCUGGGAUUAUGGGCAUGAGCCAGCGCAUCUGGCCACCUUAUUUUCUAUUACUGGCUCAAUGUAAUGGCUCCAUCUCAGGAACAGCCAAUGAAAGAGAUGCACAGGACAGGGUAAGUGGGGAGGGGCACAGAGCUUCCAUGCCCUCUGUUGGGCACACUACCCUCCCAGGACCUCCUUGUGUUUAGCAACACAGAAGCUCUCCAAACCCUGCUGUUUGGGUGUUUAUGGAGGCAUGAUUGAUAAAAUCAUUGGCCAUUGGUAGUUAAGUCAAUCUCCAGUUCCUUUUGCCUCCUGGAGUUCAGCAGGUGAGGCUGAAAGUUCCAAGCCUCAAAAAAUGUGGUUGGGGCCAGGUGCAGUGGCUCACUCCUGUAAUCCUAGCAGUUUGGAAGGCUGAGGCACAUGGACCACUUGAGGUCAGGAGUUUGAGACCAGCCUGACCAACAUGGUGAAACCCCAUUUCUACUAAAAAUAACAACAAUUAGCUAGGCAUUGUGGCACAUCCCUAUAAUUCCAGCUACUCGGGAGGCCGAGGCAGGAGAAUUGCUUGAACCCGGGAGGUGGAGGUUGUAGUGAGCUGAGAUUGUGCCAUUGCACUCCAGCCUGGGCUACAAGAGCCAAACUCCGUUAAAAAAAAAAAUGUGGUUGCUUUCUCUGGCAGCUAGCCCUCCUCCUGAAGCAGUCUAGGAGCUUGCAGCCACCCUGUUAGCUCAGCAGCAUCCCACAUGCAUUCUUACCAUGCUGCAGAUCUGAAAGACCUUAGAGGCCCUUGUGUCAGGAACCUGGGACUAAGACUAAAUAUCAAAACAGAAAAUGCUCCUAUUACCUCUGUCACGAAGGGCUUUAUAAGAGCUUUGGAAGUUCUAUGCCAGGAACCAGGGGCAGAGACCAAAUGUAUAUUUCUUUUCUUAUAUUGGAGACAGAGUCUCACUCUGCCACUGAGACUGGAGUGCAGUGAUGUGAUCAUAGCUCACUGCAGCCUUGACCUCCUAGGCUAAAGCAAUCCUCCCACCGUAGCCUCUCCAGUAGCUGGAACUACAGGCAUGCAUCACCAUGUCCAGCUGAUUUUAAUUUUAAUUUUGUAAAGGCAGGGUCUUCCUAUUUUCCCCAGGCUGAUCUCUAACUCUUGGCCUCAAGCAGUCCUUCCUCUUUGGCCUCCCAAAAUGUUGGGAUUACAGAUGGGAGCCCCCAUACCCACCAAUCACAAGGAUCUUUAUAAGAGAAGGAGGUAGGAGAGUCAGAAUUAGAGAAAGUGAUGUGGUAAUGGAAGAAGAGGUCAGAGAGGGAGAUUUGAAGAUGCUGCACUUCUGGCCUUGAAUAUGGAGUCACGAGGUAAGUCAAGGAAUGGGGGUGGCUUCUAGAAGCUGGAAAAGGCAAAGGAGCACAUUCUGUCUAGAGCCUCCCCCAGAAGGAAUGAAGCCCCUCUGACACCUUGACUUUAGCCUUAAUAGACCUAGUUGGGCUUCUGGCCCCCAGAACUGUAAGAUGGUAGAUUUGUGGUGUUUGAUGCCACUAAAUGUAGGGUACUUUGUUGUAGCAACAACAAAAAAUGAACAUGAAGCUGGGACCUCAUGUUACAGUUGCUCAUGCCUGUAAUCCCAGAACUUUAGGAGGCUGAGGUGGGAGGAUCGCUUAAGCCCAGGAGCUUAAGACCAGCCUGGGCAACAUAAUGAGACCUGAUGUCUAAACAAAAUUUUUUUAAAAGGCCAGGCGCAGUGGCUCACGCCUGUAAUCCCAGCACUUUGGGAGGCCGAGGAGGGUGGAUCACGAGGUCAGAAGUUCAAGACCAGCCUAGCCAAGAUGGUGAAACCCCAUCUCUACUAAAAAUACAAACAUUAGCCAGGUGUGGUGGUGGGUGCCUGUAAUCCCAGCUACUCGGGAGGCAGAGAAUCACUUGAACCCAAAAGGCAGACAUUGCAGUGAGCCAAGAUCACACCCUUACACUUCAGCCUGGGCGACCGAGACUCCGUCUCAAAAAAAAAAAAAAAAAAAAAAAAAAAAGCCAUGUGUUGUGGCAUGCAGCUGUAGUCUCAGUUCCUAGGGUGGCUGAGGCGGGAGGAUUGUUUAAGCCUGGGAGGUUGAAGUUGCUGUGAGCUGUGAUUGCACCAGUGUACUCCAGCCUGGGCAAUAAAGCAAGACCUUGUUUCAAAAAGAAAGAAAGAAAUGAGCAUGGUGGGAAUGGGGACAGAUGGCAGUGUUAAGUAGAGUGGUCAGGGUUGGCCUCAUAAGUGAAUAUUGAGCAAAAGUUUGAAGCAGGUGAUGGAGCUGGCCAAGGUGCUGAGGGAAGAGCAUUGUAGGCUGAGUCAACAGGAUAAAGGCAUUAGGAGGAAACUCUCUGGUGUGUCUGAGGCUCUGGAAGGAGGCCAGUGGAGCAAAGAGAUAGAGGGAGCGAAGUCAGCAAGGAGGCCAGGGAGUUGCUGGGCUGGGAUCGGUACAGAUCGUGUAAGCCCUGGGACGCUAUUGCUGGGGCUUUGGCUUUUACUCUGACUAAAAUGGGAACCACCGAGGACUUCUGAGCAGAGAGGCGACGUGAUCUGUCUCCUGAUUUAAAAGCACGACCUGGCUGCCAAGUUGAGAAAGACUAUGGGAAGAUUUGGGUAGAAGCAUGGGGGCCAAGCUGUGGCAACAUCCCGCUGGGAGAUGAUAGUGAUCCUGACCGGGUUCACGGUGGUGGUGAGAGAUGGUCAGAGCCUGGAUACACGUUGAAGUCAGUCAGUAGGAUUUCCUGACAGACUGGAUGUGAGCUGUGAGAGAAGGCAGUGGUCAAGAUUGAGUUUGAUUCUGAUUGAAUUAUUAAGUAAUUUUAAAAAACACUACUGCCUUUCCCAAUCCUACCAAGUAAAAGAUGCUAGAUAAAAGAAAUCUCAAAUUAGGCCAGGUGCAGUGGCUCACACCUAUAGUUCCAACAGUUUGAGAGGCAGAGAUGGGAGUAUGUUUUAAGGCCAUGAGUUUGAGAGCAGCCUGGGCAACACAGCAAGACCUCCUCUCUAAUAAAAUAAUUAAUAAAAAAAAUUUUAAUAAAAUAAAAUAAAUAUAGCCAGGCAUGAUGGUAUGUACCUAUGGCCCCAGUUACUCAUGUGGCUGAGAUGGGCAGAUCUCUUGAUUCUAGGAGUUUGAGGCCAGCUUGGGCAACAUAGCAAGACUUCUCUCUCUACAAAAAUGAAAAAAAUGCCUGACAUGGUGGUACUUGCCUGUUUUCCCAGGUAUGGGGGCAGCUGAGGCAGGAGCAUCUCUUGAGCCCAGUUGGUCAAGGUUGCAGUGAGCUAUGAUUAUACCACUGCACUCCAUCCUGGGUGACAGAGUGGGACCCUGUCUCAAAAUACAAAUACAAAUGAAAUCUCAAGUCAGACCAGUCCCUUCUAGGCUAUGUAGGCCUUGUAACCACAUAGCUGCAUGAUCGGGUUUGUGUGGCUGUGGAUGAGGAGACCCCUGUCCAAUUGUUGGCUAUGUAAUCAGUUUAUUUUUCAAUAUAGUAAUCAAAUAUAUUUCAUCAUACUUGAUGGUCUCAGAUAUGUGUGGAUUUUGGAAUUCCCCUUGGAACAGGUUGUAACAUCUUAUUGGCUCCAUAAUUCCAUAUUUUUUAAAAAUCUGAUCAGUUUUUAAUAAGAUCAGAAUUGAUAUUAGACUACUUAAUCGGUUUUGUUAAUGAGAAAAUGAAAUUGGGUUGUUUGCAUUUUAUCCAAGAUGGGUGUCAUAUUGGCUACAUCUCAUCAAUACUUGAACAAAUGCAAAAUUAGAGCUUCUUUAUCAUGAAACACGAUGUAAUUCUUGAAGAAGAUGCCAUUUCUUUUUUUUCUUUUUUCUUUUUUUAAGAUAAG